rnacentral:rRNA from 1 species
AUUGAACGCUGGCGGCAGGCCUAACACAUGCAAGUCGAGCGGGAACUUCGGUUCUAGCGGCGGACGGGUGAGUAAUGCGUAGGAAGCUACCCGACAGAGGGGGAUACCAGUUGGAAACGACUGUUAAUACCGCAUAAUGUCUACGGACCAAAGUGUGGGACCUUCGGGCCACAUGCUGUCGGAUGCGCCUACGUGGGAUUAGCUAGUUGGUGAAGUCAUGGCUCACCAAGGCGACGAUCCCUAGCUGGUUUGGGAGGAUGAUCAGCCACACUGCAAAUGCGACACCGUCCAGAGUCCUACGGGAGGCAGGAGUGGGGAAUAUUGGACAAUUGGCGGAAGCCUGAUCCAGCCAUGCCGCGUGUUUGAAGAAGGCCUUCGGGUUGUAAAGCACUUUCAGUAGGGAGGAAGGGGUUGUAGUUAAUAGCUGCCACUUUUGACGUUACCUACAGAAGAAGCACCGGCUAACUCUGUGCCAGCCGCCGCGGUAAAAC